rnacentral:rRNA from 1 species
ACUGCUCAGUAACACGUGGAUAACCUGCCCAAGGGUCUGGGAUAACCCCGGGAAACUGGGGAUAAUACCGGAUGGAUCACUAGUGCUGGAAUGCUUGGUGGUCUAAAGGCAACGCCUUUGGAUGGGUCUGCGGCGGAUUAGGUUGACGCCGGUGUAAUGUACCGGCGUGCCUGUAAUCCGUACGGGUUGUGGGAGCAAGAGCCCGGAGAUGGAUUCUGAGACACGAAUCCAGGCCCUACGGGGCGCAGCAGGCGCGAAAACUCUACAAUGCAGGCAACUGCGAUAGGGGGACAUCGAGUGGCAUCCACCUUGGGUGCCUGUCCAACCGUCUAAAAAACGGUUGUUAGCAAGGGCCGGGUAAGACCGGUGCCAGCCGCCGCGGUAAUACCGGCGGCUCGAGUGGUGGCCGAUAUUAUUGAGUCUAAAGGGUCCGUAGCCGGCUUUGCAAGUCCCCUGGGAAAUCCAGCGGCUUAACCGUUGGGCUUUCAUGGGAUACUACAUUGCUUGGGACUGGGAGAGGUAGGAGGUACUCGGGGGGUAGGGGUGAAAUCCUGUAAUCCUCCGGGGACCACCGGUGGCGAAGGCGUCCUACCAGAACAGGUCCGACGGUGAGGGACGAAAGCUAGGGGCACGAACCGGAUUAGAUACCCGGGUAGUCCUAGCCGUAAACGAUGCCCGCUAGGUGUCACGACGGUCGUGAAUCGUCGUGGUGCCGUAGGGAAGCCGCGAAGCGGGCCACCUGGGAAGUACGGCCGCAAGGCUGAAACUUAAAGGAAUUGGCGGGGGAG